CUGAGAACGGGAGAGGCUGGAAAAAAUCGAGAAUGGAAAGGAAGAAAAAGAAGAAAAGAAAGGAAAGGAAGAAGUUGAUGACUUUUGCAAGUUUGGGUUCUUCAUUUCUUCAAUUUAUGCUUCUUUUAAAGAGGUAUGUUAAUUAAAUUUCUAGGGUUUAUGAACAAUUCAUUUAUAUUCGAAGUCUAGCAAGAAUUAGAGAUUAUUAAUAUGCAUUUGAGGUAUUAAACAAGAGUAUAUCAAGGAAAUUUAUAAAGAAAGAUUGAUGUUGUAGAAAGUGAAAUUUUGAAAAUGGAAAUGGAUACCUAUUCUUUGUUUUUUUGUGAUUAUAUGGUGUCAACCACUUAAUUUAAGGACAUGAGGUUUGAUUUCUCCAUUUUAAGCAAUUUUAAGCUAUUUUGUGCAAUUUUAAUACACAGGUGCUGAUUUGUAAUUUUGCCCAGAAAAGUGCCGUUUCUGUCAAAUGUUUUGGUGAUAAUUUUUAGUGUACAAAAACUGGUUUUACAGUUCCAUAUUCUGGAAUUUUAGUUUUAUUUUUGUCUAACCUUUGAUUGUUUUGAAAUUAUUAGAAAAUAAUUGGUGUAAUUACCUUACUCUAGUGCACUAAGGGGCUAGGUCGUGUACUAGAGUCAUGUAUUUAACUCUUAUAAACUGAGGGGCUACAGCUGCGUAUAAAGAUGAUUAUGUUAUUUUCAUCUUGUACACGGAGGGGCUACGGUCGUGUACUAGUGUCACGUAUUUAACUCCUAUACACUGAGGGGCUACAGCCGUGUAUAAGGAUGAUUAUGUUAUUUCUAUCUUAUACACUGAGGGGCUACGACCGUGUACUAGAGUCAUGAAUUUAGCUCCUAUACACUGAGGGGGCUAUGGCCGUGUACUAGAGUCAUGUAUUUAACUCUUAUACACUGAGGGGCUACAAUCGUGUAUAAGGAUAAUUAUGUUAUUUCCAUCUUGUACACUGAGGGGCUACGACCGUGUACUAGAGUCGUGUAUUUAACUCCUAUACAUUGAGGGGUUACAGUCGUGUAUAAGGAUGAUUAUGUUGUUUCCAUUUUGUGCACUGAGGGGAUACGGCCGUGUACAAAGUAUUGAUCAGACGGUUUAUGUGCAUAUGAUUUUAUAGCUUUCAGACCAUUAGUAGAUGUUUACAUGGAGUAUAUUUUGAUGUGAAUUUUAAGUAUAUAGUGGAUUAUUAGACUUCAGUUUACAUUUCCGCAUUGACAAUUCAGCUUACGAAUUUCAGAAUUUCUACAAGUUUUCGUAGUGCAAGAAUUUUCAGAAUAUAUGCAUAAAAGAAAAAGUAUACUUAUUUGCAGAUUAUUCACUUACUGAGCUAUAAGCUCAUAUUUCUUUUCACAUUUUUCUUUAGCAGAUAGCAGCCGAGUUGAGCAGUAUUAGAACCUGUCGAUCCAUUGAAUUAGGCCACACGUCAUUAGUUGUAUGGCCUACUUUAUCAGAUUAGGUAGUAACAGUUUCUUGGGUUACAUGUAGCUUAUGUUAGAAAAUAUUGUCAUGAGAUCACUACAAGGUAUAUUUAGGCUUUGUUUUAGACACAUUAUUUGAAAAAAAAUGUAUUCUUCAGCAGUGAUUUGACAUCAUUUCAACCACAAAUUCAAUAAAAUAAUAUUAUACACAAAUUCAAAAAUUUUCGUUAUUUUUUAACCACACAUUUCCUAUCAAUACACUAUUCAAAAAUGUAUUUUUAUUCCAAUAAUGUUGCUCAAACAAGGGCUUAGUAUAUUUGAGGAUUGUUGAUAGUAAAGCAAGUAAAUAUUGAAUUGCCAGCAAAUUAUUUGAAUACUUUAGAUUUUGAGGGACUGGUGUACCUUAUUUUACAUUAUAUGUAUUGAUUUGAAGAAAUCGAUUAUGGAUCAGAUGGAUUUAGUCCAUAUUUUAUAGGAGGCUUUGUCAUAAUUUUGUUAAAAAUAUUUUUCAGUCAGGCAAGUCAAAGUUGCCUUAGUGGUGGGUUCGACGUUUAGUUAGUGUCUAUCAUCGGUGCAAGACACGUGUCGAGUCCAUUGAGGUGAUUCGGGACAGGUCGUGUCACUAUCCCCCUACUUCAACUUGGUAUAUAUACAAGAAUUCUUUUCGACUUUUCCAUUUAAAUGACAAAUGUAGUGUACAGAGCAAAUAAGCAUUUAUUUGGACACUAGCCUGCCUCCAAGCUAUUACUUGAGCGUCCAAAACAGUGAGCUCAUUGCUAGCCUGUCACCUGCCCCUUGCUGUCACUCGAUCGAGCAACAGUGCAUCCCGAGAAAUCCUAUUUCACAUUUUUUAAGGCUUUUAACUUGCCUAUACUAUCCAAAACCUCCAAACUAGAAAAUUGUUGGUUGAACAUUGAGAUAAACUUGAAUUCACUUUAUAUACUUCAUAUAACUUGUUCGAUCCUCUCUUGCUUGAGCCAUAUUAUUCAAAACCAUCAAACCCACAUAAACUAAAUACCAGAACACUUAUUUCCAUAAAAUCUAUCAGAGUUUUGAAUAUCAAGGAAGGUUACCUGAGUUCCGAUUGUUAGAGAACGAGGAGUUCUUGAAGAUCCAAAGGAGAUAGAUGAGUUAAGAAGGUCAAGAGUUGGUGCAGGAGCACGCAAUCAAGGAGGUUUUCUUUUUUCCCUUUUUAGAAUAAAGGAGGAAAGAGAACGAAUAAAGUAGAUCCAAAAUCUGCGAGACUCAAGUUCAAGUUCGAAUUAAAUGAAUAAUGAAUAUUAAUAAUAGAGGAAUGGGGGUAGAGUAGAAAAUACAGAUCUAGAGCAAGAAUACAAGACCUUGGUGAUUACAGUUAAGAGGUCAGAAAGCACUAGAGUCGAGUCUGGCAAUACUGUAAGUUGAUUCAUUUAUAUUGGAUUCAUACUGGCUUGAGCUCGGAGAUUUCAAUCCUGCGAGGGGUUUUCUCCAUUAACAAUUUUCCUGUGUCAUUUACUUUUAUGCAAUUUAUUAAAUUGCAAUAAUUCAACAUAGGAUAGUGUGCAUGUGAAUUCAUAUGAAUUAAUUAAUAACUGUGACAUGUUGCAUUUAUUAAUUGAUAAAUUUAAAUUUCGCACAAACAUCUAUUCAUCCCCUCUAGGUGUUAGUUUGGUCGAACUUCAUUAUUUUAGUUUUCCUUUGUUUCUAAGGGCUUAUUGCUUCUGCCACAUUAAAAAAAAUAAAAUAAAUAAAAAUAAAAAUAAAAAUCUUAUCUAUCAUGAUGUUAUUUUUUGUUAUUGUACAUCAUUUUUAAUUACUGCAUAUCAAUUAUGCCCUAAAUGUAUUUACAAUGAAACUUUGGCUACUAAGCAUGAUAGUGGCUGUAAGUUUAUCAGGCUUUAAUUCCUACAUGAGACUCUGCAACGCACUUGCCAAACAUAGUUUUUCAAGUUACCUAGAAAAGUAGCCACUUUGUCCUUUAUAGUCUUAUCUAAAUCUUCUUUUUUCUAUCGGUCAAGUAUCUUUUAAAAAUUAGCAUGCAUAAUUGUUGAGUCGUAAAUUCGGCAUACUGGGGAUUGGGGAGCACAAGGAUGAACAAAUUUUUGAAGUCAAUUGUCUUGGAGAUGUUGUGUAGACAUUUGAAGGGAACUUUUCGGUUGUCAAAAAAACGUCAUUUCUAAAAGUUUAAAAUGAUGAAUUUAAUUUUUUUACCAAAGGUCCGACAUGUUCUCAAUUUUCAUAAAGAGAUAACGGCCUUGAAUACAAGACCUACUCUUGCUCUGUUAUUAGGUUGUACUAUCUUGUAGCUAAAGCUAAUGAAGAAGGGAUUUAUUUAUUUAUUUAGUUUAUUGUUCAACAGUUUCUUAUUAUAUAAUUAAUUUGAUCUUUUUGUUGCACACUUCAAUUAUUCUAGAAUCAAGAAUUUGUGAAACACAGUGCCAAUCCUCAAGGGCAAUCCCAAUGAAGGCCCAAUCCACCCCCAAUUAAAAAUAUGUCAGCAGUAGCCCAGGCCCAAGUUAAAAGAAAUUUUUUUUUUUUUUAAAUUGGCCAAAAAAUUGGCCCAAUUUUAUUAACCCAUAUAAUUUAAAGGUUGAGGCUUGACCUUGAAUUGUAGAAUAUCCGUCCCUGCUGCUUGCUUCGACUUCCACCUGAGGACAGAGGACCUCGGUUUCCGCCUUCCAAUUCACGUAUGACUGUCUCUCUCUCUCUCUCUGUGUGCUGACUGCCAUGCUAUAUAUUAUAUACACACUUCAUGCCUCAAAAGUCAAAGUUAAUUUUAUCUCUUUCUAGCAUCAAUCUAUGAAAUGUGGUAUGGAAUUUGAGUUACAAAACUUAUUUAGUUAUUCUCCAAUUCAUUUUAUGUAGCAAUUAGAAAUGCAAUUUGUUUUGUUUUCUUCUAUUUUACAAAUUCUCCAAUUCAUUAUAUGUAUUACUUAAUUUCCUGCUAAAUUUUGAAAUUUGAUUUUAGGGCCUAAACUAAAAUUUACGGCUUUUCGGUUUUUUAUCCAAAGUUUGAUUCUUUAUGUUAGUUAACUUUUCGAUCUUAUGUUUUCAUACUAUCAUUCUAUUUUCUUUUUCUUAUCAACACAUUGUAAUGCUAUACUCUAAUUGAUGGUGACUUCAUACGGGGCCCUCCCUAUGGCCUAGUAAUCUUUCUCAACUCAAGUCUUAAGUUCGGUGUCUUUCAUCAUUGAUUGAACAUCUGCGCUAAUAUGUUAAAAAAGAAAAAGAAAUAGGGAGCUAAUGGCUUGAAUGGAACAAUAACAAUGGAUUAGUAAGCCUACAGAGCGGACAAAGAUCAGAGCAUGUUCCAAUAUAAAGAUUCGUGCUGUCAAGUUUGUAGUUUUUCUUGCAUCUCUUUGAACAUGAGGAUUCCCGCCAUCAAGUUUGUAAAUUUCUUACCUUCCUCCAAGGCUCAAUCAUAAUAGAUGUAUUCCUAACACCCUCACUCCCUCAAUCCAACCCAACCCAAUCCAAUCCACCCACAUUGGGUCUAGAUCUAGGUCAAGGUUCUAAAUUUUAAUGGUGUUUUAAUUAAAUGAAAGAAUGAUACCAACAUUUACCUUGAAUUUGAUUGUGCUUUUAAGAGUUUCUCUUCUUUGUCAUAGUUAUUUUUCUCAACGUAAAAUUGAAAUUUCAAAUUCUAAUGGUUUAACUCGUGAACUAAAAUACUGAGAUAAAAUCUCAAAUCAUCUAUUUUCACAAAAUCCAUCUUAUUUUCAUUCAAUUGGUCCAAGUCAACAAUUUCAUAAGCCUAUUAUGCUUUUCCACAAACAUACGUUCUACUUCAUUUUAGUCUGCACAAAAAUUACCAUUAGGAGUUCAAAAUAAGGCCGGCCCUUAGAAUUUUAAGGCUCAAGGCUACAAAAUAUGAUGAGGCUCCUAAAUAUAAUUUGUUUUUACAAAUGUAGCAAUCUUUUUAACAUCAAUCAUGUUGAAUCAACAAACUGUUCUCAUGAUGAGGAACAUUAUACUAUGACAUUCAAAUACUGUUCGAUUCGUCUGAGAAUCAAUUUUUGUAUUCAAGAAAUAUAACUAAAUCCUUUUUAAAUCCAAUGAGGUAAGUGGUAACUACCAUUUAUUGCUUAAAAUUUUCUAUACUUAAAAAUAAUAAUAAAAUCAAAUCAAAGGCAGCAAUGAAAUCUAUAGAACAAAAUUUAAUGUUGAAUAAUUAAAAAUACAAUCAUAAUUGGGUAUUGGGACAACCUUCUGCUUCAUUUGCAAUACUACAUCUUCAAAAAAGUAUUUAAUGCAAGAAAAUUCUAUAAAUUUUCUGUACAUAAACAGUCAUUUUGACUUUUUUUUUUCCUUAAUUGAUUAGGGAAAAUUGUAGCAAAGGUACCAAACCUUUCAUUUAUUAGCAAACUUAACUCAAACCUUUCGUUUAUACCACCGGAGGUUUCAAACCUUUAAAAUAUUCACAGAUCCAAUCCAAAAUGAUGGUUUCCAUCUAUUUGACCAUCAAAACCAUUAGUUCACCCCAAUAAUGAAAAAAAAAAAAAUUUCCUCCAAAUAAGGAUAAUUUUGACAUUUAACCCUAUUUGAAGGACAUUUUUAGCUCCUAAAAAUGAAAAAAUGGAUCGUUAGAAGCACUUUUCAGCCACCAUUUUUGACUGAGUGUAGAUGUGGGGCCUAAAUUUGAAAAAACGGUCCAAAAAUUUCUACUCUCGCCCCUAAAAAUAUGGCUCAAGCAGUUAAUAAGUCCUUGUCCAUCUUCUUCAACAAACCCUCAACCCCCAACCCCCCAAAUCAUAUCAGAAGAUUCAUCCCUACCCCUAACCUCACAAAAUCAUAGGGAUGGAUCCAGGAUUGGAUCCAAGACCGGGCUACAAAAUUUCAAACGGGGCUACUAUGCGUAAAAAAAAAAAUUACACAUAAAAAACUGAUUUUUUAACAAAAAAUAAAAAAUACCUUAAAAAAAAGUUCUUGGGCCUGAGGGAGGGGGGGCUACAGCCUAGCCCAGCCCAGCCCCCCCCCCUCCUCAAUCUGUCUCUGUCAGAUCAGAAGAUUCACCGUCAACUACCAUUGACCACGAUACAAUUCCUCCGACGGUGGUUGUUGUAUAUGUGUGUGUGUGUGUGUAAAGGUGCAAUUCCUCCCGCAUGCAAUUUCUUAGUUUCCUCAUUUUUCACCUUUUCUACAAAAAUCACAUCUUCAUAGUUCUCGAUGGUUAGUAAUUCCUUAAAAAUGAAAGAUGUGUUGCGAGGGUUUCACUUGGAGCAUAUUGUAAAAGGAUAUUAAUGUGUCAUUGGAAUUAAUUUGUCAGGAUAAUUUACCAUUUGUGUUUGAAUUUUUGAAGAGGGUUGGGGUUCAAAUUAAGUUGGGUGUUUGGAUUUUAUUGGGUGUAUACAUAUCAAUGAAAUCUUACCUCUCUGAGAAGCUCUUGAAUCCAUUUCUAAUGUAUUUUGUGGUGGUCGGCGAUGAUUUUAGUGGGCAUAUAAGUAUAUUGUGGGUUGGAGAGGGUUGUUAUUCCCUAUUUCUUUAACUUGAUUUAAUUUACAGAUUAUCAAUCUUCCUUUGCGGUUGUACCGGUGGCCUUGCCGGUGUUGGAUAGCAGUGGUGGUUGUUAGAUUUUGGCGGGUGGGAAACGAUGUGGUGUGGGGGUGAAGAUGACAACCUUUUUUCCCCUUUUCUAUUUCAUUUUUUUAUUAUUUUAGGUUUUAGAAUUGUAUAGUUACUAUUUUGCCCUUAUUAUAUUUGAUUAAAUUCUACUAGUUUGGUCAACUAACUGUCAAAUUAAUGGUUUUCAUCCAUUUGGACUGGAUCUGCAAAUAUUUUAAUGGUUUGGUACCUCUGCUGACACAACUGAAAGGUUUGGGUCAAGUCUGCUAACAAAU
rnacentral:lncRNA from 1 species